UACGUAGGUGGCAAGCGUUGUCCGGAUUUACUGGGCGUAAAGAGCGCGCAGGCGGUCGUUCAAGUCGCGUGUGAAAGCCCCCGGCUCAACUGGGGAGGGUCACGCGAUACUGAUCGACUCGAAGGCAGGAGAGGGUAGUGGAAUUCCCGGUGUAGUGGUGAAAUGCGUAGAUAUCCGGAGGACACCAGUGGCGAAGGCGACUUCCUGGCCUGUUCUUGACGCUGAGGCGCGAAAGCUGGGGGAGCGAACGGG
rnacentral:rRNA from 1 species